CCCUGCAGCUGAAUGGAGGAAAAUGCAACGCAGGGGAGAGCACAAACAAACAUUCUUGUGUAAGAGCCCUUAUUUAAACAAAGUGCCUAGCUAUGCUAAUGUAUGGGCACAGCUGUUAAUCAUUAGGACACACCUUUGUGUUUUACCAAAUCCAGAGCAAACUGAACAAUCCUCCUGGAAACAUCAGGAACUCCGCCUGCCCCAGAUCGUGCAUUUUACAAUCUGCAGUUUUGCCCUUUGGCUUUAGCCCUUUAAAGGACAAGGAAAACAUUCACUGGGAGCAGCUCGCCAGUUUUAAUUUCAGCAAUCUGAUUGCUAAGGUCCACAUUACCCAACAAUUCAUUGAUAUGAAUAAGAGACUGGAAUAUGAACAGGAGAAGCCUAAAUAGAAAGAAGAAUCAUAAAAAAUAAACGAGAGAAAAAAAAUAAAACAAUAUACCGUGGUCUCCAUACUGCCAAGCAUCAUAACAGAAAUUUAUAUGACAUAUCUUGUACAAUAAAUUUGUACAACGACCAUCUGUAGGAACUCAGUUCCAGAGUGACCGUAGUUUCAGAAUUCCGCAUCACAAUAGGAGUUGCGCACCUUUCUUCAGGAGAAUCCGGAUGGAAACAUCGGCAACCAUGUGGAAGUGCAGGAGUGUGUCUAAAUGCAAGUACGUCAUUGGGUCGACAUGCACUCUUCAUUUGUUCCACUUUAAAGAUGAAGAAAAGAGGAAAAUAACCAGCAUGAACACAAAAUAUACAACUUUGGCACUGCACCUGGAAAGAGUUGAAGAAAAGUUCACAAUGCAUCCGAAUUUCCCAAGCUAGGCCAGUGAAGGUGUGUGGCAGGCACACAAACACAAUGUAAUGGACACCGAACACAAGAAUGAGAACCAGUGUAGACUUCGCCAACUUUCUAGAAAAUAAAUUGGAAACGUGGAGGAGUCAAGAUCACCAGUGUAAAAUAAUUAAUAAAACAUGGACAUUCUUCUAUUUAAAAUACGUAAAUCCAAAUUUAAUUGGACUUUCAUGAAUAACAUAAAUUAGCAUUGUCAAGGCAACUCAUAUACCAGCUCCCAGAAAUAUAUAAACAUGCCAUUUUGCUAACAGAUGCUACAUUGUUAACACAGGUUAGAAAGCUAAUGCUGAGCCAACUAUUCAUUUUACUUACUAUUACUACAUUUUCUUUUAUAUUGAAGUUGCUCUCUAAUGCUGCUGAUUCCUGCAUGGUAGAUAAGAAGUAAUCCUUCCAACAGUCUUUCAGUGCUUACUUUUUUAUUUUUUUUAAUUUCUUUCUUUUGCGGUUGGCUGGAGAAAAGCCAAUAUAAACUACAGAUACUACGAUCGCUAGCAAUUCAAUAAACAACAACAAAUAAACAAUACACUUCUAUAUAAAGAACUAACAUAUGCAUACAAAAAAAAAAACUGGCUUACAGACAAACUGAAAAAGUAGGUAAUGGGCUCCAUGUUGGUGAAAUAU